rnacentral:rRNA from 1 species
AGGGAAUCUUCCGCAAUGGGCGAAAGCCUGACGGAGCAACGCCGCGUGAGUGAUGAAGGUUUUCGGAUCGUAAAGCUCUGUUGCCAGGGAAGAACGUCGGGUAGAGUAACUGCUAUCCGAGUGACGGUACCUGAGAAGAAAGCCCCGGCUAACUACGUGCCAGCAGCCGCGGUAAUACGUAGGGGGCAAGCGUUGUCCGGAAUUAUUGGGCGUAAAGCGCGCGCAGGCGGUCACUUAAGUCUGGUGUGUAAGGCUAGGGCUCAACUCUAGUUCGCACUGGAAACUGGGUGACUUGAGUGCAGAAGAGGAAAGUGGAAUUCCACGUGUAGCGGUGAAAUGCGUAGAGAUGUGGAGGAACACCAGUGGCGAAGGCGACUUUCUGGGCUGUAACUGACGCUGAGGCGCGAAAGCGUGGGGAGCAAAC